GUAUAAAAUACUUAUCUCUACCUGGUCUGUUCAAUACAUACAAAAUGUACUAGCACAAGAAGCUGGAAUUAAAUUAUUCCCAUAAUCAAGAUAAAUUAUAUUUAAUCUUGUGCUACAAUCAUUUAUGAUGGUUUGUCCAAUUCCAUAAUUAGAUUGUGAACUCAAACUUUAAACUUAUAAGAACCGAUGAUUUAAUCUUCCAUGUAUAAUCUAAACUCUUUACACUAAAUCAUCUACUAUA
rnacentral:lncRNA from 1 species